ensembl:misc_RNA Metazoa_SRP Metazoan signal recognition particle RNA
GCCAGGUGUGGUGGUGCACACCUGUACUCCCAGCUACUUGGGAGGCUGAGGCAGGAAGAUUGCUUGAGCCCAGGAGGUUGCAGCUACAGUGAGCCGUGAUUGUGCCACUGCACUACAGCCUGAGCAACAAAGCGAGACCCUGUCUCUA